rnacentral:rRNA from 1 species
UACGAAGGGGGCUAGCGUUGUUCGGAAUUACUGGGCGUAAAGCGCACGUAGGCGGAUAUUUAAGUCAGGGGUGAAAUCCCAGAGCUCAACUCUGGAACUGCCUUUGAUACUGGGUAUCUUGAGUAUAAAAGAGGUAAAUGGAAUUCCGAGUGUAGAAGUGAAAUUCGUAGAUAUUCAGAGGAACACCAAUAGCGAAGGCAGCUUACUGGUCCAUUACUGACGCUGAGGUGCGAAAGCGUGGGGAGCAAACAGG